AGCGAACGCUGGCGGCAGGCCUAACACAUGCAAGUCGUACGGACCCUUCGGGGUUAGUGGCGGACGGGUGAGUAACACGUGGGAACGUGCCCUUUGGUUCGGAAUAGCUCCUGGAAACGGGUGGUAAUGCCGAAUGUGCCCUUCGGGGGAAAGAUUUAUCGCCAUUGGAGCGGCCCGCGUCUGAUUAGCUAGUUGGUGAGGUAAAGGCUCACCAAGGCGACGAUCAGUAGCUGGUCUGAGAGGAUGAUCAGCCACAUUGGGACUGAGACACGGCCCAAACUCCUACGGGAGGCAGCAGUGGGGAAUCUUGCGCAAUGGGCGAAAGCCUGACGCAGCCAUGCCGCGUGAAUGAUGAAGGUCUUAGGAUUGUAAAAUUCUUUCACCGGGGACGAUAAUGACGGUACCCGGAGAAGAAGCCCCGGCUAACUUCGUGCCAGCCGCCGCAGUAAGAC
rnacentral:rRNA from 1 species